rnacentral:ncRNA from 1 species
CCCGGGGAGCCCGCGUGAGGCGGGCUGAGAGGCCGACCAGCAGCCGUCGGCGACCCGUCGACCCGAUCGCGAUCAUGCGCGCGUGGGGAGG